GGCGCCGGCGCUCCAGACCGGGCGGGGCGGGGCUGGAGUUGCUAGGAGACCGGCAGCGGGCGUCCGCCUCCGCGGCGCGGUCUCCUGGCUUCCACCCUUCACCUACUUCAGCCUGGCGGAGACUGAGACGGAUCCAUGUCUUGACAUCAACCAGGAGCCGUGCAAAGUACUUUGUAUACGUCAUCUCAUUUUUUUUUUUUUUAAACCCUGUGAUAUGGAGGCUGCCUCUUGGCUAGACCUCAUUCCCUCGGCUGUACAAGCACGCAUACCCCACACCAACUGGGACAUGCUGUCUGGAACAAGGUCUGACAUGAGGAUUGAGAACUUGAAAUCAGAGACGUCCAAAAUACCUUUGGACAAACGGUUUACACUGGGAAGUAUCGCUGAUAAUUUGCAGAUGUCCCUGUCUGUAAAGUACUACUGGAACCACAAGAAACUCUGAAUUCCUAGUAAAGAAAGAAAAUUGAAA